GAAUUAUUACGAGUUUGAUCCUGGCUCCGGAAGAACGCAAGAGAUGUGCUUAACACAUGCUAAUUGAAUGGUAUUAAUAUAUCAUAGUGUAAUAGUGAGUAAUGUAUGAGAAUUUAUUUUUAGAAUAUAAUAAAAAGCUAAUAAUUUAUAAUAAACGCAAUAGUGUUUUAAAAAAAUAAUUAUUGUCUAAAAAAAAGCUCAUAUCUAAUUAGCUAGUUGGUGAAGUAAUAGUUUUACCAAGGCGAAGAUUAGUAGCUGCCUUGAGAGGGGAAACAGCCACAUAGAGAUUGAAAUACAGCUCUAACUCCUAAGGGGGGCAGCAGUGGGGAAUUUUCUGCAAUGAGCGCAAGCUUGACAGAGCGUCAUCACAUGAAGGAGGAAAGCCUAUAAAGGUUGUAAACUUCUUUUGCUUAAAAAAAUAAUACUGACGUUUAAGUUUAAAAAGUAUCGGCUAACUCCGUGCCAGCAGCCGCGGUAAUACGGGGGAUACAAGCGUUUUCCAAAAUUACUGGGCGUAAAGUGUAUGUAGGUGGAUUAAUAUGUUCUUACUUAAAGACUAUUUGAUAAAUUUAGGAAAAGAAAGAAAACUAUUAAUCUUGAGUUCGAUAAGGGUAAGAGGAAUUUUUUGAGGAGUAGUGAAAUGCGAAGAUACAAAAAAGAAGAUCAACAGCGAAAGCAUCUUACUAGGUCGAUACUGACACUGAGAUACGAAAGUUAAGGUAGCAAAUGGGAUUAGAUACCCCAGUAGUCUUAACUGUAAACAAUGGGUACUCGGUACUGGAGAUAUAAAUACAUAAAUUCAGUACCCUACUAACGCGUUAAGUAUCCCGCCUGAGUAGUACGCUCGCAAGGGUGAAACUCAAAGGAAUUGACGGGGCCUCGUACAAGCGGUGGAGCAUGUAAUUUAAUUCGAUGUAACGCGAUAAACCUUACCAGAACUAGACUAAAUUUAUUUUAAAUUAUUAAUAUUAAUUAAAAAAAAAUUACAGGAGGUGCAUGGCUGUCGUCAGCUCGUGUCGUGAGAUGUUGGGUUAAGUCCCGCUACGAGCGCUACCCUUAUUUAAAGUUUUUUAUAUCUUUAAAAACGGACUAUAUAAAUUUUUAGAUUAAAUUAGUAGGAAGGAGAGGAAAACGUCAAGUCUUUAUGCCCUUUAUGUUCUGGGCUACAUACGUGCUACAAUAGAUGGUACAAUAAUUUUUAAAAAUAAAUAUAAAUAUAUUAUCAAUUUAUUUUUAAUUUAUUUGUGAAAAUAGAUGUAAUAAUUAAAAACCAUCUCUAGUUCGGAACAUAAACUGCAAUUUGUUUAUGUAAAGUUGGAAUCGCUAGUAAUCGCCGAUCAGCAUCACGGCGGUGAAUAAGUCUUCGAGCCUUGUACACACCGCCCGUCACGCCACGGAAAUUGAUUAUUUUUUAAAACUUUUGGUAAAAGGAUAAAUAAUAAUAAAUAACUGGGGUGAAGUCGUAACAAGGUAGCCGUA
rnacentral:rRNA from 1 species